rnacentral:tRNA from 1 species
GAGCUUAAAUUUUUAAAGCUUCUAACUUUAUAUAAAGCGAUUCUCGUUUAAAGCUCU